CUGUGCUAGAUGGGGAGCUAGCGGUGCCCUGAACCCGCAAUCCGCUAUAGCGGGGUUGAAUUCCUUCCCCAGGCUCGGCUGAGGGACCUCUAUUCUACUGGAAGGGUGUUGAGGGCUGGGUCCCACGCGGCGGAGACCUGUGAAUCCCGCCAGGUCCGGAAGGAAGCAACGGUAAGCAGACAUCUUCGGGUGCCGUGGGAGUGCCUGGUCUGAGCUUGACCAGCGGGACACGUUCAACGGUCGCGUCGAAGGAAGGUGCACGG
rnacentral:SRP_RNA from 1 species